rnacentral:rRNA from 1 species
UACAGGAUAGGUAGGAGCCUGAGAUACGUGAGCGCUAGCUUACGUGGAGGCGUUGGUGGGAUACUACCCUCGCUGUGUUGGAUUUCUAACCCGCACCAUUUAUCAUGGUGGGAGACAGUGUCAGAUGGGCAGUUUGACUGGGGCGGUCGCCUCCUAAAGAGUAACGGAGGCGCUCAAAGGUUUCCUCAGAAUGGUUGGAAAUCAUUCAUAGAGUGUAAAGGCAUAAGGAAGCUUGACUGCGAGACUUACAAGUCGAGCAGGGUCGAAAGACGGACUUAGUGAUCCGGUGGUUCCGCAUGGAAGGGCCAUCGCUCAACGGAUAAAAGCUACCCCGGGGAUAACAGGCUUAUCUCCCCCAAGAGUUCACAUCGACGGGGAGGUUUGGCACCUCGAUGUCGGCUCAUCGCAUCCUGGGGCUGUAGUCGGUCCCAAGGGUUGGGCUGUUCGCCCAUUAAAGCGGUACGCGAGCUGGGUUCAGAACGUCGUGAGACAGUUCGGUCCCUAUCCGUCGUGGGCGUAGGAAAUUUGAGAGGAGCUGUCCUUAGUACGAGAGGACCGGGAUGGACAUACCUCUGGUGUACCAGUUGUCGUGCCAACGGCAUCGCUGGGUAGCUAUGUAUGGACG